rnacentral:rRNA from 1 species
ACUCAAAUGAAUAGACGGGGACCCGCACAACCUGUGGAGCGUGUGGUUCAAUUCGAGACAAAACGAAGGACCUCACCAAGGCUUGACAUAUUAGAGUUCUAUCUUCUAGAAAUAGAGGAAAUCCGCAAGGAGACUAGUACAGGUGCUGCAUGGCUGUCGUCAGCUCGUGCCGUGAGGUGUUCCCUUAAGUGGGGAAACGAGCGCAACCCCCAUCCAAUGUUACAUUAUUCAUUGGAAACUGACCGUGUUAUAGCACGGAAGGAAGGAGGGGAUGACGUCAAGUCAGCACGGCCCUUAUGCCUUGGGCAACACACACACUACAAUGGCGAACAACAACGAGCAGCAACACGGCAACGUGAAGCAAAUCUCUAAAAUUUCGCCUCAGUUCAGAUUGGGGGCUGCAACUCGCCCCCAUGAAGUCGGAAUAGGUAGUAAUCGCAGGUCAGCAAACUGCGGUGAAUACGUUCUCGGGUCUUGUACACACCGCCCGU